UUGAUUUAUGUGAUUUGAUAUUAGUUAUUGUUAAUUUUGACAAAUUGUUGAAUUCUUAUUUUAUCUGUAUAUAUUUCUGAAACUGUGAAUGCAAAUUUUUUAAUAGAAAACUUAAUUUAGAUCACAAUAGUUUCAUUUGUCAAAUGUUGCAUAGUAUCUUAAUGCACAUCUAAUUUCACAAAUUCUAAGUGAUGCACUGCAAGAUGCCACUUAGCUAUUUUCAAUCAUGAACAAAAUCUCUAAAAAUUUUGUUACUAAUAGAAUCCACCUGAAUAGGACAAAACUGUCCAUAUAUUUUAACUGCAUCCAAUCCUUGGUGUUACUGCAGAGGUGAAAGAUGUUGUGACUUGCUUGAGUACUCAAAAGUCUAUUACCAAGGUAAUGAUCUUAUUUCAAUUGGCAUUGUUCUUAAGAUGGAUUAUGGAAAUACUUCAUUGUGCUUGUAAUAGGUUUAAUGGCUAGCUAGAUGUACUUUGCACUGUUAUUAUGUUCAUAGACACUUUGAACAUUUUUAGAGUUCUUUGUUGUGUAUUAUAUUUGUUAUUGUUUUAGGGAUCAGGCAUUCUAUGACUUAAUAUACAUGUCUGCUCUUGUACUCAUAUCUGGAUGAACUUGUAUUUUACUCUUGAUCUGAGUAUUCCAAGGAGAAUUUUAUUUUUGCUUUUAAAAAAAUCUAUAUUCUUCCUGUGAGUAAAUAGUGAUCUAAGAUUAAUUAAAUAGUUGAUGCAUUCACAUAAGAAAUGCAGUUUGCUGUAAUCCAAAUGAAUUAGUUUUAAUUUUAAAGUCUCAUUCUCUAUUCCUGCAUGUGCUUUCUCGCUCUCUUUUUAUCCGUACCUAUAUUGUGAGUUUUAACACUGUAUGAUAGAACCAUAGAUUUUUAUGAAGAGUAUAUAAUAGAGAGAGGCCAGUUGAUGUAUAGUGUAACUCAUUGUAGAGAGAAAGCUAUGAUUCUGAUUUCUUCUUUUAUGAUCAAUAAUAAAUCACAAAACUUAAUUCCUUUUUUUCUAUAGUUUAUUGCUUUCUAUCUUUCUGAUUCAAGAUAGUUUUACUUAGUUUUCUUGCCAAAACUGAUAAGCAGUAGCUCCAUGACCUGCCAGUUGUAACGAAUUUUAUUUAUAAUACCUAGCAACCUCUUGAGUAUUUUUCUAACUUCUUUUAUGUUGGUGCAUUGGUUCUUUUAAUCAACAUUACAACUUGAAAGUGAGUCUGACAUUUUUCUAUCAGAUAAAGAGGUACUUAUUUAUUUGCUACUCUAUUAAAUUUGAAAGUAUCAUGUGUAAUUUUAAACCUAUGCUUGCAAAUGAAUCAAUUUUUUGGAGGUGGUAUCCUUGGCUCUUCAGGAUCAUUGCUACUUGGACUGCACAAUCAUAUAGAACUCCUUUUAAACAAAAGUUUUUAUUACAAACACAUAUCUAAUGCUUUCUUGACUUUGUUUCUAGCAGGAAAUUGUGAAACAGUAACAAUGGCUAUGAUGAGUAUGAAUUUAUAAUGGUUUUCUACUUGAAAUCCAACAAUGUUAACAAGCUAAGAAAAAGUGAAUAGUUUUCUAGUCUUGGUUGAGGCCAAGGUAACUCGAAAUUAAAGAUAGAAGGGACUUGUUACAUUGGAGACCAUGCCUUUGGAUUCAAGGAAACUGAAAAUCAAAGAUAAGAAGAAAUCUUGCAUGGGGAUUUCAUUUGACCUAUCUAAAUUUCGAUAGUUAUGGUUUUAUUUUAUUUGAGACUUUUAAUUUGGUCACAUUACAUGUAAUAAUUCUAUAAUUGCUCUGUAGUCUAAUGAAAUUUUAAAUUCGAUGACACUCCAAGUUUUGGUUCCUAGUUCCUACAAGGGGUUUUGUAGCAUGAAAAUGCAUGACUUUUAUUUAAGAAUUAAGAGGAAUCUUUAUGCUGCUCAAUUUUAUUUAGAUUUGGCAAAUUAAAUGUGCUGCAGUUCUUUCCAACUGCUGAGGAGUCAAUGGAUCACUAUAAUCAGAAACGAUGUGUUGAUGGAAAAGGACUUGUUCUGCCCAGUUAGAUUGUAUGUCAAAUAUUUUGAAUGUGUCUUGACUUACUUCAAUGGCUAAAACCCACCUGCCCGUAGGUAAGUACUGGCCCAUGAUUUAACUUAAAUAUUCACCUCAUUGAUGUCUAGUGUGCUGAGAUCAUAUUCUGUGCAGGUGCAUGCUUAGGGGAUUUCGGCUUCACAGGUGCCCUUACUGGAUCAGGCCCUCUAUAACUGUCUCAGACCAUAGUAGUGUGCUUUAAGUUCUUGUGCUAAAUUUUCCCUCAUGUUUAUAUAGUUAUGGCUACUCUCUGUGUGGAUCUAAGAGAAAUAUAGAUAUGAAAGACACUUAACAAUACCAUUUGCUGUUGAUGCAAUCUCCCUUUUUUUCCUUUUAUUUAUUUAUUUAUUUUUAAUGUGCAGGUGUGCUGUUCUCUACCAAAAAACAUCCAAGGACCAAGGAUCUUUUGCUAGAAGAUUUCUGGUUCAGUGCUCUAAAGAAGGGAGUAAUGGUCUUUGCUUUGCCAGGAGAGCCUGGUCUUACAGAAUUGGCUGGGGACUUCAAAAUUCAUUUUCAUGAUCGCCAAGGAGACUUUUACUGUUGGUUGAACACAACUAUGAAGAAAAUAGAAAAGUAUUGAACAUCAGUGAUCUUGAUGGCUUUGACAAGAGAAAAUUGCCUUCUCCAGGAUUCCUGGUUGAGGUUGUGUUGGUUGAUUACAAUGGUAAUGUUGUGGCUUCCGAACCCAAGGCUACUGGAAAAAGAUCAUAUGAGAGUUGAAGUAAUAGUGCCACCCCAGUUGAAGCAAGCAUACCUGUGCAGAAUUGUUGUUAUCUGAUUGUAGGGAUCUAACUGAGUUGCCUGAGGAAAUGUGCUUAUGUGCAAGUGAGUUUAUGUGCAAGUGUGCUUAUGUGCUUGUGUAUUUUUACUUCAUUUUAAAUAACAAAGAAUUUAUAUAUUACAAGGUACCUACAAGUACUAUAAAGUGUAAACAGGUGAGCCUCCAACUUGUAGUAGUCUGAAAUCGUUAGUGAGAAGAUUCAAUGUGAGUUUUAAGAGAA